UACAGAGGUCUCGAGCGUUUAGGCGGAAUCACUGGGCUUAAAGCGUGUGUAGGUGGAUGCCUAAGUACCUUGUGAAAUCCCACAGCUUAACUGUGGAACUGCUUGGUAUACUGGGGUGUCUUGAGUCACUCAGGGGCGAGCGGAACAAUGGUGGAGCGGUGAAAUGCGUAGAUAUCAUUUGGAACGCCAAUGGUGAAAAACAG
rnacentral:rRNA from 1 species